rnacentral:rRNA from 1 species
GACGAACGCUGGCGGCGCGCUUAACACAUGCAAGUCGAACGGAAAGGCCUGCUUUCCCUUGUGGAUUGCGGGUACUCGAGUGGCGAACGGGUGAGUAACACGUGAGUGAUCUGCCCCCAACUUGGGUAUAAGCCUGGGAAACUGGGUCUAAUUCCCGAUAGGACUGCAGGGUGGUGCCUGUGGUGGAAAACGAUUUUCUAGUGGUUGGGGAUGAGCUCGCGGCCUAUCAGCUUGUUGGUGGGGUAAUGGCCUACCAAGGCGGCGACGGGUAGCCGGCCUGAGAGGGGGGAGGGCAACAUUGGGACUGGGAUACGGCCCAGAAUCCUACGGGGGGCAGCAGGGGGGAAAAGUGCAAAAGUGGGGGAAGCCUGAGGCAGCGACGCCGCGGGGGGGAGGACGGCCUUGGGGGUGUAAACCCCUUUCGACCGGGAGGAAGCCCACGGGUGGGAAGGGUGGGGACGGUGGUGGUAAAAGAAGCACCGGCGAACUAAGG